AAUGAGGAAGGCCCCGCUCCUCCUUCGAAGAGAUAGGAAAUGAGUCAAAUCGAAUUGGCUAUGAUGUUUGAGGAGAAGGUGGAGUCACUGUUCGAACCGACACAGCGACGAUUGGGAGAGCUACUCUCAAGGGCAGCACGAUGAUGACCUUCUGCACAUCAUCGAUCUUGAUCGGGUCUAUGCUGGUGGUCCUGACCAAUCUAGUAGGGGUAGGCAGAGCUGAGGCUGAUGAGGUUGUUGGCUUCACUCUCUUCAUCGAUGAACCCUCUCCCAAAUCAAAGGUCACCCUCUUCUUCUU
rnacentral:lncRNA from 1 species